UAGUUGGUGGGGUAAAGGCCUACCAAGGCGACGAUCUGUAGCGGGUCUGAGAGGAUGAUCCGCCACACUGGAACCGAGACACGGUCCAGACUCCUACGGGAGGCAGCAGUGGGGAAUUUUGGACAAUGGGGGCAACCCUGAUCCAGCCAUGCCGCGUGAGUGAAGAAGGCCUUCGGGUUGUAAAGCUCUUUCGUCCGGGAAGAAAUCGCACAGGCUAAUACUCUGUGUGGAUGACGGUACCGGAAUAAGAAGCACSGGCUAACUACGUGCCAGCAGCCGCGGUAAUACGUAGGGUGCGAGCGUUAAUCGGAAUUACUGGGCGUAAAGCGUGCGCAGGCGGUUUUGUAAGACAGGCGUGAAAUCCCCGGGCUCAACCUGGGAACUGCGCUUGUGACUGCAAGGCUAGAGUACGGCAGAGGGGGGUGGAAUUCCACGUGUAGCAGUGAAAUGCGUAGAGAUGUGGAGGAACACCGAUGGCGAAGGCAGCCCCCUGGGCCGAUACUGACGCUCAUGCACGAAAGCGUGGGUAGCAAACAGGAUUAGAUACCCUGGUAGUCCACGCCCUAAACGAUGUCAACUAGGUGUUGGGUGGGUAAAACCAUUUAGUACCGUAGCUAACGCGUGAAGUUGACCGCCUGGGGAGUACGGCCGCAAGGUUAAAACUCAAAGGAAUUGACGGGGACCCGCACAAGCGGUGGAUGAUGUGGAUUAAUUCGAUGCAACGCGAAAAACCUUACCUACCCUUGACAUGUCCGGAAUCCCUGAGAGAUUGGGGAGUGCCCGAAAGGGAAUCGGAACACAGGUGCUGCAUGGCUGUCGUCAGCUCGUGUCGUGAGAUGUUGGGUUAAGUCCCGCAACGAGCGCAACCCUUGUCGUUAAUUGCCAUCAUUUAGUUGGGCACUUUAGCGAGACUGCCGG
rnacentral:rRNA from 1 species